AGCUCCAAUAGCGUAUAUUAAAGUUGUUGCAGUUAAAAAGCUCGUAGUUGGAUUUGUUGUGAGAGUUGAUAUGAUGAACAAAGUUUAUUGUAUUUGAUUCCACAUUCUUUGUGUUGGAUUUGGGAUGGCAUUGAGUUGCUGCCUCAAAGACACGCAUCUUUUACUGUGAAAAAAUUAGAGUGUUUAAAGCAGACGUUAUUGUCGUUGAAUACAUUAGCAUGGAAUAAUAAUAUAUGACUCGAUUGGUCUAUUUUGUUGGUUUGCACAUUUGAGUAAUGAUUAAUAGGGACAGUUGGGGAUAUUCAUAUUUGAGCGUCAGAGGUGAAAUUCUUGGAUCGCUGAAAGAUGAGCUAAGGCGAAAGCAUUUAUCAAGGAUGUUUUCAUUA
rnacentral:rRNA from 1 species